rnacentral:misc_RNA from 1 species
UAUCUGUUGUAUUGAUUCUUGAUAUUUGCUGGAAUUUCGAAAGUUAGGGUUUUGGAAUCCUGACAAAGCAGAAAUGAAAGGACAAAGAGAUUAAAAGAAGUUAGAGAGAAAAGACAGGAGAUCUUUGCAGAGAAAGAGAGAGUAAAAAGAUUGCUAUUUCAAAUAUUUUCUGGAAUUUCUAGAGUUUCAAGAAAGAAAGAAGAAACAAGAAAGUAAAAAGAAGCUCAAGAAAGUAAGAAGAAGAAUAGAAAGACAAGCAGAAGAAAUCUGGCUAGCCACUUCAAGCUAUGAUACCAACUGUUAUGUAGCAGACCUGUUAUGCACUUUGAAACAGAGAACAGGGAUAGAAAGAAAUAGAAAUAGACUGGG